rnacentral:rRNA from 1 species
CAAUAGCGUAUAUUAAAGUUGUUGCAGUUAAAAAGCUCGUAGUUGGAUUUCUGGUAGGAGUGACCGUUCCGAACUUGAUUGUUCGUGUAUUGUGUUUUCUCCAGCCAUCCUUGUGGAGAACUUUUCUUGCAUUAAUUUGUAGGGAUUGGGACCCGCAUCGUUUACUGUGAAAAAAUUAGAGUGUUUAAAGCAGGCAAUCGCUUGAAUGCAUUAGCAUGGAAUAAUAAGAUAGGACUUUGGUACUAUUUUGUUGGUUUGCAUACCAAAUUAAUGAUCAACAGGAACAGUUUGAGGAUAUACGUAUGAACAUGUCAGAGGUGAAAUUCUUGGAUUUUGAUCAGACGAACUACUGCGAAAGCAUUUAUCAAGGAUGUUUUCAUUAA